rnacentral:rRNA from 1 species
GCCUGCCCAGUGACUACGGGUUCAACGGCCGCGGUAUUUUGACCGUGCAAAGGUAGCGCAAUCACUUGUCUCUUAAAUAGAGACCUGUAUGAAUGGCUAGACGAGGGCUUAACUGUCUCCCCCUUCCAGUCAGUGAAAUUGAUCUAUCCGUGCAGAAGCGGGUAUAAUUAUACAAGACGAGAAGACCCUUUGGAGCUUAAGGUACAAAAUUCAACCACGUUAAAUGACUCUACAAAAAGCAAGAACCUAGUGGCCAAUGAAGUUUUACCUUCGGUUGGGGCGACCACGGAGGAAAGACAAGCCUCCGAGUGGACUGGGCUAAAUCCCCAAAGCCAAGAGAUACAUCUAUAAGCCGCAGAACAUCUGACCAAGAAUGAUCCGACUGAAAAGCCGAUCAACGAACCAAGUUACCCUAGGGAUAACAGCGCAAUCCUCUCCCAGAGUCCAUAUCGACGAGGGGGUUUACGACCUCGAUGUUGGAUCAGGACAUCCUAAUGGUGCAGCCGCUAU